CAAGAUAUGUUUUUGUUCAACUGGCAGGCGAAGGUAGGCAAGACAGUUGCAAAAUAAAUCCUAUUUUGCCACCCAGAACUCAUUACUCAAUGUACGUUUUGGUGCAUACAAGAAGGAAUAUG